CUGACAUCCUCUUCAUUUUGCUCUAGCCAUUUUUUGGAACACACAGAAAACAUUGAGAUGCAGAGCACCAAUCCACAUGUUCAUUGCAAGCCGCGACGUCGGAAGUUCGAAUCCAGCCAUCUGACAUUUGUCACAUCUUCCCCUCUCUCACUUCCAUUCUUCCUGUCUCUCUACGCCAUUCUAUCCAUUAAACCACAAAAAAAAAUCUAAAUAAAAGAAUUCUGUAUCGCAA